UGAGUAGUCAUAAUAUGAGAAGCCCAAGCCACAUGGGGAGACCACAUGGAGAACUAACUUGCCUCUGUCAAUCCCAUAUGAUCUCCCUGCCAAGUGCCAGCAUCAAAUGCCAACCAUGAUUGUUUUAAGUCCUCAUUGGGCAUUUUAAGUUCUGUUUGAAAGAGCUGCAUCACAAUUCUUAUAAAGGACUUGUUGAAUCAUAAGCUGUUUCCUUAAGCACCAGUUAUGUGGGGGACCUUGUGCCAGGCACUGGGCCACAUAAAUGAGAAUCACAAGGACCAGGAUUAAGAAAAGACAGCCGCUCUACAGUAAGGUAAAUAAGUCAUUUAGUCAGGAACUCUGCACAUUUACCUCUGCAUUUAUCAAAUAUUUGUUGAAGGAAAUAAUAAAAGAAGUGAGGAGGAAGAAGAGGUUUCCUGGGUUUUUUUAAUGUGUGAGAUUGGAAGAAAUCUUGUGAGUAAUCAUGAAUUUUAGGAAUCCCAGAAGGGAGCAAAGAAGAUUCUGAAAAAAAGAGAAAUACUUCUCUGAGUUGGAAAUUGGUUAAAUUUAGUGAUGUUUGAGCCUCAGCUUACAUUGGAAAUCACUAACUACUUUUAAAUUACUUUUGGUUUUGGACCCUGUUUCUUGCUCUGGGACUACACAAAAGGACUGAGCCAAGACAGGAGCAGGAAUUUGGCUUGCCAUUUAUUUAAUUUAUAUUUUAUUGUCUGCUAAAAAUUGAAUGCGUUUCAGAGCAAGAUAGAAGAGGAGUACAUCUCAAAUGCUUUUGAAGUUACAUUUCCAAAGUGAGGUCCCAGCUGGAAGUAUAAAUGGUUCUCCAAUUUUGCAGAUGGAAUUUUAUCCAAUAUUCAGAUGUAUAAUCUGCUUCAAGUAUGUACACAGGGGAAGUAAUAAGAGUACUGUGAAUUCUCAACUGACCAUUUUCUGACACAUUAAAGAAAUAGCAAAGCACUUAUCUCUGAAGUCUCACUUUUUAAAUAUGUUACAAUGAAUUGUGAUCCUGUUUUAUGUAUCUGACUGACAGCACUGGGAAUUAAGUUCCUCAGCCAAUGAAAUAAUAAACCCAAUGCCACGAUAAAACCUACGGUAGAGACUGAUAAGGACUCCAGAUCCAGGCUGCUAAUACUCUUCAAAGUCAUUCAGCUGUGGCUACUACAUGAUGUCUGAGUGUUUCCACAAGGCACUGUUUUGGACAUUGGGAACAUCGAAGUAGAGUGAGCAUCAUCAUGAAUGGAAACACUUUCUCUGAAAAAAGACAUAAAACAAUUGAAAGUCAGCAGUGUCUUUCUUGCAAAAUAUUAUGAAGAUCAGGACAAUUAGAAUUAGGUAUACUCCAAUUCCAUUUUAGAAUUUGCAAUAGAGAAGGUGCUUUGGGAAUGGAAUUAAAUGAGCUGAUUCAUGUAAAGGGAUUUAACUGGGUGCCGGACCUGUCAUAAACUCUUAACGUGAACAGGAGAGUUACUGUAAAAACUGAGACAACAAAACAGCCGGAGGCAUGAAAAGAAAAAGAAUCCCGCAUGAAUAGCUUGCUAUAUGUAAUUUGGUUAGGAACAAUUCACAGGUUUUGACAGCUUUAUUAGAGUUCCAUUUUAGUAAGAUUCAGGUGAAAGUGAGGUCAUCACUUUAAAACAAAAAUCCUGAGAACAUACCCAGAUGGACUCACAUAAAUGAUGUAUACUAAUGUCGUCAAGUAAAUAUUUUAAAGAGUUAAUUGCUUUCUUUAUUAAAAACUGGAUUUAAAUACUCCAUUAUUUCAUAAGAAUAAAACAACUACAACACCGCCACAACAUAAAAAGUGUUUACCUUAAUGUAUUAUGAACACCAGCAGUGAGUUCCAGUAAUAUCUUGCACUUCUGAAGAUGUGUAAGUAUACUAAGGAACAUGCUUAACUUAGAACUCACUAAUGGAAGUUACAGAGAUUUAUUCAGAUCCAUGUUAGCAUGCUUGAUACCCUUAAGCACACUAACAAUAUACAGCAUCUGCUUUCAGGGAUGUUUUUACCUCUUGUACUAGUUUCAGAAAGCCCAUGUCUGAAUAAUUCCUAAGUAAUGGUUUUUUAGCUUACUCUAUAAUUUUGAUU
rnacentral:lncRNA from 1 species